rnacentral:rRNA from 1 species
AUGAAUCCCCACCCCCUCCGCCUCGGCGCGCUCUUGGCGGCCCUCGUGCUUGCCGCCGGCGGCGGGUGGUGGGGCCGUGCGGAGGCGUCGAUCCACACCUACGGGCGCGAGUCGUUCCGCGAGGUGGGCAACGCUUUCCUCCUCUCCGGCGGCAGCGAGGGCAUCGUCGCCGACGGGGUCGAUCUCGCCGCCCCCGCCUCCUCCUUCAUCAAGUUUGUGAAUGUUACUUUCUGGAGGAACGCAGAAUCAGCAGAAUCACAUGCAAAAAUGGCACAUAGUACAGGCUUGGUGCAAGCUAUUUUAUUUGAAGCAGCUGACAGGGAUAACAUUGGGGGUUCUGCCUAUGGUGGACAGAGGUCCAUUUGUUGCACCCCUGACCUUGCUAAACUAGAGGGCUGCAAACAAGGUGAAGUAAUCAGGAGGCCAUCUUCUGAUGACCCAGCUUGGCCUGUCGUGGUAGAUACACACUUCAGUGCUAAUCACCUUUCAGUGAAGUUGGAUGAUGAGGAAGUUCACAUUACAAAGACAGGCAUGUACAACUUGUUCUUCAUUUCUUGUGAUCCAAAACUAAGGGGCCUUGCUAUGAGUGGGAAGACAAUCUGGAGAAAUCCUGGGGGGUACCUACCGGGACGAAUGGCACCUCUGAUGAGAUUUUAUGUUUUCAUGUCGCUGGCUUAUCUGUUAGUCAUGGUUGUCUGGUUUAGCAAUUACAUAAGGUUUUGGAGAGAUAUACUGCCAAUACAGAAUUGGAUCACACUAGUAAUUGCUCUUGGACUGUUUGAGAUGACACUAUGGUACUUUGAGUACUUAAACUUCAACAGCAGCGGUGUACGACCUGUCGGAAUUACAACUUGGGUUGUAACUGUUGGCGCUAUCAGAAAAACAAUUUCCCGUCUACUGAUCCUUUCUAUAUCCAUGGGAUACGGUGUUGUUCGCCCAACUCUAGGAGGGCUCACCUCUAAGGUUUUACUCCUUGGGCUUACAUAUUUCCUGGCUUCUGAAUUACUGGAUAUUUCAGAAAAUGUUGGAACAAUUAAUGACAUCUCAGGCAAAGCAAAGCUUUUCCUUGUCCUUCCUGAUGCAUUUUUGGAUGCUUUUCUCAUACUUUGGAUUUUCACUUCUCUUUCCCGCACUCUCGAGAAAUUACAGGCAAGGAGGAGUUCUGUGAAAUUGGAUAUAUACAGAAAGUUCACAAAUGCACUGGCGGUCUCUGUCAUAGCUUCAGUUGUCUGGAUUGGCUAUGAGGUCUAUUUCAAAGCAACAGAUCCCUUUAGUGAGAGAUGGCAGAGUGCCUGGAUCAUAACAGCCUUCUGGGACGUUCUUGCAUUUGUUUUGCUUAUUGUGAUAUGUUAUUUGUGGGCACCUUCCCAAAGCUCACAAAGAUAUGCAUAUUCAGGCGAAACUGUCGACGAUGACGAUGAUGAGGCUCAGUCUCUGACAAAAGGGUCUGAUGGUGAUGUGGGGAUGGUAAAGAUCGACAAAGACAGAAAUGCUGGUGUUAGCAGUGCUUUCAGCUUGGAAGAUGAUGAGGCUGAAGAGGACAAAAGAGAAUAG